rnacentral:rRNA from 1 species
GAUGAACGCUGGCGGCGUGCUUAACACAUGCAAGUCGAACGGAAAGGCCCAAGCUUGCUUGGGUACUCGAGUGGCGAACGGGUGAGUAACACGUGGGUGAUCUGCCCUGCACUUCGGGAUAAGCCUGGGAAACUGGGUCUAAUACCGGAUAGGACCACAUUUUGGUUGGUGUGGUGGAAAGUUUUUCGGGUGGGGUUGAGCCCGCGGCCUAUCAGCUUGUUGGUGGGGUAUUGGCCUACCAAGGCGCCGACGGGUAGCCGGCCUGGGGGGUUGUACGGCCAAAUUGGGACUGAGAUACGGCCCAGACUCCUACGGGAGGCAGCGGUGGGGAAUAUUGCACAAUGGGCGCAAGCCUGAUGCAGCGACGCCGCGUGGGGGAUGACGGCCUUCGGGUUGUAAACUCCUUUCGCUAGGGACGAAGCGUUAUGGGACGGUACCAGAAGAAGAAGCACCGGUUAAUUACGU